rnacentral:rRNA from 1 species
UGCCAGACUCCUACGGGAGGCAGCAGUGGGGAAUAUUGCACAAUGGGGGAAACCCUGAUGCAGCGACGCCGCGUGAGUGAAGAAGUAUUUCGGUAUGUAAAGCUCUAUCAGCAGGGAAGAAAAUGACGGUACCUGACUAAGAAGCCCCGGCUAACUACGUGCCAGCAGCCGCGGUAAUACGUAGGGGGCAAGCGUUAUCCGGAUUUACUGGGUGUAAAGGGAGCGUAGACGGCUGUGCAAGCCAGAUGUGAAAGCCCGGGGCUCAACCCCGGGACUGCAUUUGGAACUGUGUGGCUGGAGUGUCGGAGAGGCAGGCGGAAUUCCUAGUGUAGCGGUGAAAUGCGUAGAUAUUAGGAGGAACACCAGUGGCGAAGGCGGCCUGCUGGACGAUGACUGACGUUGAGGCUCGAAAGCGUGGGGAGCAAACGGGAUUAGAUACCCCAGUAAC